rnacentral:rRNA from 1 species
CCUACGGGAGGCAGCAGUGGGGAAUAUUGCGCAAUGGGCGAAAGCCUGACGCAGCGACGCCGCGUGAGGGAUGAAGGUCUUCGGAUCGUAAACCUCUGUCAGCAGGGAAGAACGGUCACUGUGCUAAUCAGCAGUGAAUUGACGGUCCCUGCAACGGAAGCACCGGCUAACUCCGUGCCAGCAGCCGCGGUAAUACGGAGGGUGCGAGCGUUAAUCGGAAUUACUGGGCGUAAAGCGCUCGUAGGCGGUAUGUCAAGUCAAGGGGGAAAUCCCCGCGCGCAACGUGGGAACUGCCUUUGAAACUGGCAAACUGGAGUGUGUGAGAGGAUAGUGGAAUUCCAGGUGUAGGAGUGAAAUCCGUAGAUAUCUGGAGGAACAUCAGUGGCGAAGGCGACUAUCUGGCACAUAACUGACGCUGAGGAGCGAAAGCGUGGGUAGCAAACAGGAUUAGAUACCCCUGUAGUC